AGGCUCUCCUGCAACAGCUUUGGAGAUUCUGGAAUUUCCUCUGGGCUUCAACCAGCUGUUUUUUCCGUUGAGGGUGGAGGGGCAGCUUUCCCAGCAAGACCCUUCCUUAGGGCAAGGCCUGAGCUUUGCCUUGGGAAAGGUGACGGCACAGUGACAGGGUCGAGGGGGAGGGCAGCCUGGCCCUCCGCCCCCCCACGCCUGGGAACAGGGUGGGAUCUCAUACUCCACCGUCCUGAUUGCUGGCAGCAGCGCCAGGCCCUUUUGUCAGCCGCCUGGGCUGGAGCCAGAGAAUUUCAAGAGGCCAGAACCUGCCUAGAUGCCCCAGGGCCCCUGUGCCCAGGGCUGACAGCCGGGGCAGGGUGCAGCUGGACAGCCCAAGGCUCCAGGAUCUCUCAGGGCUCCCCCAGGCUGGACGGGCCUCUACAGCGCCUGCCGGGCCAGGGGCAACUGUGCUGUCUGGAGGUGGGUGAGUCCGGUCAUCGGGGGCUCUUGGAGGUGUUUCUAGCUGUGCCCAGGCACUGACUGGCCAAGGACCCCCAUCGGAGAGCCUCGGACACCCUAACAGUGAACGGUGAGGGGCUUUUGCAGGCUGAACAAUUGCCUCCAAAGGGCACCAAUGUGGGACCCAUGAUGAGGUGGGGGCAGAGAAUGCCAGCAUGGCCAUUUCCUGGGUUUGGGAAACAUGCCCAGAACCAAGUUCCCAGCACUAUGCACCCCUCUUUCAUGACACCGAGCAUCAUUGUGAUGUUACCAUGAUUUGAGGAAUCUGACAAAUGCUUUUCUCCCUCGCUAGAGUGGGGGGGCGGUUAGCAGACAGGGGGGUGGUUAGUGGGGGGGGCCCAGACAGGCAGCAAACAGCGUUGUCAGGAAGAGAGACUCUGAAGCAGGGGUGUGGCUCCUGGCUCCACCUCUUGCCCACUGUAUAACCUUGGGCAAGUAACUGGCUCUCCAGACCUCAGCUUCCCCAUCUGUAAAAUGGGGUUUGUAGUUAAGUAAGUAGUUAAGCUGUCAGGAUACCGAACCUGCCUUGCUCAGAGUCAGGCAGAGCAGAUGUCAACCCGGCUGGUGUUGGCCAAGCUCUUGGAGCCAGUUCCAGUCACGGUCCCCCUACUGACC
rnacentral:lncRNA from 12 species